GUGAAUCAUCCAUUUGUACCGUAGACCGUAGGGGCAAGUAAUUGCUUAAUUAUCCUACCGAGGACAAAGGAACUCAGACUCUUAUUUAAGAUGAUGACUUUCCGCCUCUUUGUCUACAUAGACAGGAGGCUUUUCUUUUGUUGGU
rfam:Viridibacillus arenosi FSL R5-213 Contig002, whole genome shotgun sequence.